UAAGCCAUGCAUGUCUAAGUACAUGCCUCAUUAAGGCGAAACCGCGAAUGGCUCAUUAAAUCAGUUAUGGUUCCUUAGAUCGUACCUUACUACUUGGAUAACUGUGGUAAUUCUAGAGCUAAUACAUGCAUCAGAGCUCCGACCCUCUGGGGACGAGCGCUUUUAUUAGACCAAAACCAAUCGGACUUGUUCCGUAUCCUAUGGUGACUCUGUAUAACUUUGGGCUGAUCGCAUGGGCUUGUCCCGGCGACGCAUCUUUCAAGUGUCUGCCUUAUCAACUGUCGAUGGUAGGUUAUGCGCCUACCAUGGUCGUAACGGGUAACGGGGAAUCAGGGUUCGAUUCCGGAGAGGGAGCCUGAGAAACGGCUACCACAUCCAAGGAAGGCAGCAGGCGCGCAAAUUACCCACUCCCGGCACGGGGAGGUAGUGACGAAAAAUAACAAUACGGGACUCUUUUGAGACCCCGUAAUUGGAAUGAGUACACUCUAAAUCCUUUAACGAGGAUCUAUUGGAGGGCAAGUCUGGUGCCAGCAGCCGCGGUAAUUCCAGCUCCAAUAGCGUAUAUUAAAGUUGUUGCGGUUAAAAAGCUCGUAGUUGGAUCUCAGUUCCAGACGGGCGGUCCGCCUAACGGUGGUUACUGCCUGUUCUGAACAGCCAGCCGGUUUCCCUAGAUGAUCUUCACCGGUUGUCUUGGGUGACCGGCACGUUUACUUUGAAAAAAUUAGAGUGCUCAAAGCAGGCGUGUAGCCUGAAUAAUGGUGCAUGGAAUAAUGGAAUAGGACUUCGUUUCUAUUUUGUUGGUUUUCGGAACACGAGGUAAUGAUUAAGAGGGACAGACGGGGGCAUUCGUAUUGCGACGCUAGAGGUGAAAUUCUUGGACCGUCGCAAGACGAACUACUGCGAAAGCAUUUGCCAAGAAUGUUUUCAUUAAUCAAGAAC
rnacentral:rRNA from 1 species